UCUGUAUGGCUUUGAGCAAG
rnacentral:piRNA from 1 species